AACGCGAAGAACCUUACCCAGGCUUGACAUCCUUGGAAUUUCUCCGAAAGGAGAGAGUGCUUUAUUGAACCAAGUGACAGGUGCUGCAUGGCCGUCGUCAGCUCGUGUCGUGAGAUGUUUGGUUAAGUCCAUCAACGAGCGCAACCCUUAUAUUUAGUUGGAUUUUUCUAAAUAGACUGCCCUGGCAACAGGGAGGAAGGAGGGGAUGAUGUCAGGUCAGUAUUGCCCUUACGCCUGGGGCUACAAACACGCUACAAUGGCCGGUACAAAGGGCUGCCAAGUCGCGAGACGGAGCAAAUCCCAUCAAAGCCGGUCUCAGUUCGGAUUGCAGGCUGAAACUCGCCUGCAUGAAGUCGGAAUCGCUAGUAAUGGUAGGUCAGCUAUACUACCGUGAAUACGUUCCCGGGCCUUGUA
rnacentral:rRNA from 1 species